AUACAAGCAAGGGCUUGAUGGUUUGAUUUAUUUUCUUUACAUAAAAAGCUUGGAUCUUGCAUUUGGUAGGUUAGCUAGAGGAACCUCUGGGUGUUGUAUAGGUGUUGAAAUGCGCUGAAGGUAGAAUCAUGUUCUGGUUGUAAUAGUUGAUUGUUAUGAAUAUGAUUCGUUCUUCGUGUUCCAUAUAGAACAAUUGAUGUAGAGCUCCUUAAAUUUUGAAAUUGUGGCGAACUGAUAUAUCUGAUCAAUGGGGUUGAAAGGUUAAAUAGCAAUGGUGGUUUUGGUCCUUUUGGAUACCCGUAUUCAUUAAAUACCUGUCAUGGUAAUUAGUAUUUACCCAACUUUGCAGGUAAUGUUAGCCACUUGCUUCUCCAGAUU
rnacentral:lncRNA from 1 species